rnacentral:rRNA from 1 species
GUCCACGCCCUAAACGAUGCUCACUAGGUGUUGGGGAAGCGAUUCCUUGGUACCGUAGCUAACGCGUGAAGUGAGCCGCCUGGGGAGUACGGCCGCAAGGUUAAAACUCAAAGGAAUUGACGGGGACCCGCACAAGCGGUGGAUGAUGUGGAUUAAUUCGAUGCAACGCGAACAACCUUACCUACCCUUGACAUGUCCGGAAGCCUGCUGAAAGGUGGGUGUGCCUGAAAGGGAACCGGAACACAGGUGCUGCAUGGCUGUCGU